rnacentral:rRNA from 1 species
UUAACACAUGCAAGUCGAACGAGAAUCUGCUGAAGGAGGAUUCGUCCAACGGAAGUAGAGGAAAGUGGCGGACGGGUGAGUAACGCGUGAGGAACCUGCCUUGAAGAGGGGGACAACAGUUGGAAACGACUGCUAAUACCGCAUGAAGCAUAGGGGUCGCAUGAUUCUUAUGCCAAAGAUUUAUCGCUUCAAGAUGGCCUCGCGUCUGAUUAGCUAGUUGGCGGGGUAACGGCCCACCAAGGCGACGAUCAGUAGCCGGACUGAGAGGUUGAACGGCCACAUUGGGACUGAGAUACGGCCCAGACUCCUACGGGAGGCAGCAGUGGGGAAUAUUGGGCAAUGGGCGCAAGCCUGACCCAGCAACGCCGCGUGAAGGAAGAAGGCUUUCGGGUUGUAAACUUCUUUUAAGAGGGAAGAGCAGAAGACGGUACCUCUAGAAUAAGCCACGGCUAACUACGUGCCAGCAGCCGCGGUAAUACGUAGGUGGCAAGCGUUGUCCGGAUUUACUGGGUGUAAAGGGCGUGCAGCCGGGUCUGCAAGUCAGAUGUGAAAUCCAUGGGCUCAACCCAUGAACUGCAUUUGAAACUGUAGAUCUUGAGUGUCGGAGGGGCAAUCGGAAUUCCUAGUGUAGCGGUGAAAUGCGUAGAUAUUAGGAGGAACACCAGUGGCGAAGGCGGAUUGCUGGACGAUAACUGACGGUGAGGCGCGAAAGUGUGGGGAGCAAACAGGAUUAGAUACCCUGGUAGUCCACACUGUAAACGGUGAAUACUAGGUGUGCGGGGACUGACCCCCUGCGUGCCGCAGUAAACACAAUAAGUAUUCCACCUGGGGAGUACGAUCGCAAGGUAGCAACUCAAAGGAAUUGACGG